UGGCUCUCGCAUCGAUGAAGAACGCAGCGAAAUGCGAUAAGUAAUGUGAAUUGCAGAAUUCAGUGAAUCAUCGAAUCUUUGAACGCACCUUGCGCUCCUUGGUAUUCCGAGGAGCAUGCCUGUUUGAGUGUCAUUAAUCUAUCAACUCCGAAAGGUGUUGGACGAUGGGGGCUUGCAGACGGUCAUACUCUGCUCCUCUUGAAAUGCAUUAGCGGCGAAACCUCGACCGUAGCCCAGCGUGAUAAUUAUCAUCGUUGCUGCUUCGUCUCUGGCGUCUGCUCAUAACCGUCGCAAGUCGACACUUGACGAUUUGACCUCAAAUCAGGUAGGACUACCCGCUGA
rnacentral:misc_RNA from 1 species